GUAAAGGUUACUUGACGCGAGCGCGUUGAUUGAUCAUUUGGAGUUGCUUCUUCUUCUUCUUCUUCAUCGAUCUAGGAUGGGUUCCAGGCCGGCAGCCUGGGAUAGCAAGGAUGGACGUCGUUCUUGUUUUUCUCGUUUGUUUUCGUCCGUAGUCGGACCCUGCUCUUACUCUUGAUGAUUAUGUAAUGUAUUGAUGUGCCUAUGAUGUAGCUUGUGGCGAGUGUAAGCCAACUCUUUAUAUA
rnacentral:lncRNA from 1 species